CCAGGCUUCCCUGACCUUCACCAUCUCCCAGAGUUUGCUCAGACUCGUGUCCAUUAAGUCAGCGAUGCCAUCCAACCAUCUCAUCCUUUUGUCCCCUUCUCCUCCUGCCUUCAAUCUGUCCCAGCAUCAGGGUCUUUUCCACUGAGUCGGCUCUUUGCAAUAGGUGGCCGAAGUAUUGGAACUUAUGCCAUGUAGUAUACACCCCCCCAAAACGAGACAUUUCUCCACAGAAAACAACCACGCCGUGCUGUGAACACACACUUCAUGAAAAGGAGCAUUUUGUCCUAAGAGAACUUCAUAUCUCCUUGGAAGACCAAAGCUGCAGGAACUUUGAAAAUGUUAGUCUUCUAACUGCCAGUAACUGUAGGUUCCCUGGAAGCUGUGAAGAUCGUGGAGAGAGGCCUUGGGAACCACUUAUCCUGUUCCAUGCAAAGGUAACAUCUUAUGCAACAAUGGAACCGUGUGGAAAUCAGGACUUUGACACGGAUACAGUUGUGUUGUAUAUAAGUGCCGUCUUAUCACGUGUGCAUUUGUGUAACCUUCCCUGCAGCCAAUAUCCAGAACCUUCCACUCACCAUAAAGGUCUCCCUGUUCCCCCUCAUCAUUCCUAUCCCUUGAUGAGCUCUUUCAUUUUAUCAUUUAGAAAAUGUGAUUUAAGUAGAAUCAUCCUGGCAGCUCCGCUGGUAAAGAAUCCGCCUGCAAUGCAGGAGAGUGAAGGUGAAAGUUACUCAGUCGUGUCCGACUCUUUGCAACCCCGUGGACUAUAUGCAGUCCAUGGAAUUCUCC
ensembl:lncRNA